GACGAACGCUGGCGGCGUGCCUAAUACAUGCCAGUAGAACGCACAGUUUAUACCGUAGCUUGCUACACCAUAAACUGUGAGUUGCGAACGGGUGAGUAACGCGUAGGUAACCUGCCUGGUAGCGGGGGAUAACUAUUGGAAACGAUAGCUAAUACCGCAUAAUAUUAAUUAUUGCAUGAUAAUUGAUUGAAAGAUGCAAUUGCAUCACUACCAGAUGGACCUGCGUUGUAUUAGCUAGUAGGUGAGGUAACGGCUCACCUAGGCGACGAUACAUAGCCGACCUGAGAGGGUGAUCGGCCACACUGGGACUGAGACACGGCCCAGACUCCUACGGGAGGCAGCAGUAGGGAAUCUUCGGCAAUGGACGAAAGUCUGACCGAGCAACGCCGCGUGAGUGAAGAAGGGUUUCGGAUCGUAAAGCUCUGUUGUAAGAGAAGAACGGGUGUGAGAGUGGAAAGUUCACACUGUGACGGUAUCUUACCAGAAAGGGACGGCUAACUACGUG
rnacentral:rRNA from 1 species